rnacentral:rRNA from 1 species
CGUAGGUGGCAAGCGUUGUCCGGAUUUAUUGGGUUUAAAAGGGUGCGUAGGCGGUCUUGUAAGUCAGUGGUGAAAUCCGGCAGCUUAACUGUCGAUGUGCCAUUGAUACUGCAGGACUUGAGUACAGACGAGGUAGGCGGAAUUGACGGUGUAGCGGUGAAAUGCUUAGAUAUCGUCAAGAACACCGAUAGCGAAGGCAGCUUACUAGACUGUAACUGACGCUGAUGCACGAAAGUGUGGGGAUCAAACAGGAUUAGAUACCCUGGUAGUCCACACUGUAAACGAUGAUUACUCGAUGUUGGCGAUACACAGCCAGCGUCUUAGCGAAAGCGAUAAGUAAUCCACCUGGGGAGUACGCCGGCAACGGUG